CACUCUAGUCCCGCUCCUCCAGGGACAGGGGACACUCUAGUCCCGCUCCUUUGGAGAGAGGGGGCACUUUAGCCCCGGUCCUGCAGGGUCGCCUGACGGUGUGGUCCCAGUACUCCCGAGAGGAGAUAGAUUGAGGGAGGUGAAGAAUUAAAGAGGAAUGAGCAAAAACCUGAGGGGAAUCGGAUUGAGCUAAGGGCCGCGGGGCGGACAAAGAUCCGGAUUCCGGACGGCGACCAACUAAAAUGGAGAGCGGGGAGGAAGCGACGACACUCUGACGGGCGGACGUGGCGUUAACGUGCUGCAGUUGGCCCAAGAGGGGUAGGGGGCGGAAGUGGCGCCACAGCGUCGCCCCGUCAUAGUGAGCGGGACGGACGUGAUGUUUAGCAACUCGCAGUCGGCUACCCAUGGCAAGUGGGGAGGAGAAAUUCAAAUGAAGAGUCAUCUGGACUCGAGACGUUAGCUUCUUUUCUCUCUAUUGAUACUGACUGACCCACUGCGAUUUCCAGCAAUUUCAACUUACUGCGUGGUGAGGGGGGGGGAAGUAGAUGUCAUUGUCGCAGCGGGGCGGAAGUGACGUCUAGUUGUGCGCUAGUCCAGCCGGUGCUGCGGGGCGGAAGUGACGCUGUGGUCACGUGAUGUCCAAUGGAGGCGGGCCGGAAGUGGCCGUCGCUUGGGGCGGCCUAGCUGCUCUUGUUAAAGCCUGAGGCGGGAGAGAGAUGGAGCUGGAGCGGCCGGGCACGGCGGCUGGUGACGCGGUGACACCGGAGCCCUCUCACCUUGAAGAGCUGGAGCCGACAGACCCCGACACGGUGAACGCUCCCGUCUACUGCAUCUGCCGACGGCCCGACAUCAACUGCUUCAUGAUCAAACGACACCACCUUAGCCAUUAAAUACCGUCAGAAGAAGGCGAAGGAGAGGGAAGGCCCAGCGGUGCUGGAGAAGGAGAGGCAGAAGGAGCAGGGCGAGGCCCGAAUGGACAAGAAGAAGGUGGCGGCUAAUGUAAGGAUGGGGCAGGCGGUG